AGCUGGUCCAAUGCCCUGGCAUUUUUUCCAGUGAAAAAAUAAAUCUUACAUUUUGUAUGUAUCUUGUUUUGUAUUUUUAUUUUGAUUAAUUGCUAAUGGAAUGAUAUGAUUUUAAUCUAGAUCCAUGUUGUUGCACUUUCCUGGAUGGAAGAGUUUCCUAGAGACUUCUCAAAAAGACAGCAAAGAUGUGCACAACAAAUGGAUCCAUCUGCCUUUAGAGAGCACGAAUGGGAAGAGCCUUGGGGAGAAGCUACAACAGCACAUGGAGGAGGAGGGCAGCACAGUCUGGCUGGACAUCUGCGCCAGCCGUGGUACUCCAGGGACUUGCGAGGAGGAGAGAAGCUGUGCCUGCAAGGUACCGCAGCUUUUCUCUGCACAGUUUGUAUGGCACCAUUUAUCUGAGCAAGGCUGUGUUAGAGUAACAGGCAGUGUAGUUCUGUACAUGGUGAAAGCUGCACGUGGGCUUUCCUUUGCUCUCUGUGUUGGAGUAAAUUGAAGAAAAAUGAAUCCAGAGUGCCACUGCCCUCCUAAAUGGGGGAGUUCAGCCCGAGCUUCAUCUGCGCAGCAGGGAGCGAGAGCAGCAGGAGCAAAGUGUGCUCUGUGUGACACAGGUACUAACCUGGUAUUUUAUGCGUUAGAGGGAUGUCAGUGUGAAUUACACAGCACAAUCAUCCCCGCAGAUCUGCCUGGUAACAGUAUGUUUGCAGGAUUAUGUUCUGGCACUUCCUUCCAGUGCCGCCGGGCCUUGUGAUCUCGCGCAGUUCUCCAGCUUGAAGGGACACAAAGAGAUUCCCUGGCAGACUUUGGUUGUGCGUCCCACUGCCUGCAUGAAGGCAGAUGGGAGUGACAGCUAGCUCGAUUUGGCAGUAACCUGGUAUUUUCACUAUGGGAAAAACACAGCUUUAAAAUCACCUAGUUAUGUUUGUGAAACAACAUGUUCCAGAUUGAUUACUUACUUCUGGAAGCUGCUGCAGCUGAAAGUGUAGCUGUUAAAGACUUACAGGUGCAGCAAGUCAGGGUCAUCCACAUAAAUCAUUGCCUGCUGUUGACAAGAAAUUUAACAAUUUGGAUUAGUUGUUAGGAGAGCAUGCACAAUUGGAUAUGUUGAAAUCUUAAUGGUGGUUUUCCUUACUAUUUGAUACAGCUAGUAAAAAAGAAAAAACAAAAACAAUAAAAAUCACUCACCACAAGCUUUAAUUAUUUUA
rnacentral:lncRNA from 1 species